CCGGGCUGCCGUGUUUUCCCGAUUCUCCUUGAGGGCCACGAGCCCCUGACGGUCCGAGGCCUCCUUGUAGACCAGGGCUCCCAUCACGACCGGGGGGACCUACAAUUAUUUGGAGGACCCAUAGGUCCGGGUAAUCCUCUAUCGCCAGAUCUACCUGGCGCACCAACAAUCCCUGGUAACCCAGGUAUUCCCGCAUGGCCUUUAGCCCCGUCUGCACCUGCUUCCCCUCUUUCACCUUUGGCUCCGUCUAGGCCAGGAAUGCCUUGUUUUCCUGCAGGGCCUUGAGGUCCUUCAACUCCAGAAGGUCCUGACUCCCCUCUUGGACCUCUUUCUCCACUCGGACCAGGUGGGCCACCUGGGCCAGGAGGUCCCUAAAUUUUAAGGUGCACCAGAAGAACCGGGUUGGCCAGAUUGUCCCAUUGGACCCUUGUCUCCCAUACGCCCAGGUAUACCUGGCUGGCCCAUUUUACCAGGACGGCCCUCAGGCCCUGGCUCACCCAUGGGUCCAGGUGAUCCUUGUGGCCCAGGACUGCCUACAGGUCCAGGAGCGCCGUCAUUUCCAGAUUUUCCCGGAGAACCACUUUCACCCUAUUUUAGUAAUUCAUAAGUUUUUAUUACUUAUAACGCUUUCUCAAUGUUACUUUAUAAAAAAAAAUUAUUACAUGCACAAGAGCAUGUUUUAGUCGCCUUUUAUCCUCCUUACUGUGGUGAACGCAUUAAAUAUUUAUGUUUUAAAAAUUUCUCCGCAAUACACGUCAAAGUUGCGCCUGAGAAGUAAACGUUAGCUUUUUGUGAACUAU